CCUACGGGAGGCUGCAGUGAGGAAUAUUGGUCAAUGGACGAGAGUCUGAACCAGCCAAGUAGCGUGAAGGAUGACUGCCCUAUGGGUUGUAAACUUCUUUUAUAUGGGAAUAAAAUGUUCCACGUGUGGGAUUUUGUAUGUACCAUAUGAAUAAGGAUCGGCUAACUCCGUGCCAGCAGCCGCGGUAAUACGGAGGAUCCGAGCGUUAUCCGGAUUUAUUGGGUUUAAAGGGAGCGUAGGUGGAUUGUUAAGUCAGUUGUGAAAGUUUGCGGCUCAACCGUAAAAUUGCAGUUGAAACUGGCAGUCGUGAGUACAGUAGAGGUGGGCGGAAUUCGUGGUGUAGCGGUGAAAUGCUUAGAUAUCACGAAGAACUCCGAUUGCGAAGGCAGCUCACUGGACUACAACUGACACUGAGGCUCGAAAGUGUGGGUAUCAAACAGGAUUAGAUACCCCAGUAGUC
rnacentral:rRNA from 1 species